rnacentral:snRNA from 1 species
GAAUAUGAGGGAAUCUGGCUGAGAUAUGUCAUCCCAUUGAUCACCAAGGUUGAUUCGGAUGAUCUGGCUGGUAGGCAGGUGUCCCCUUCCUCCCUCACUGCUCCAUGUGCAUCUCUCCUGAAGCUAUGUGCUGAGUGGAAGAAGACACCAUCUCCAAUAAAGAAGGACCAUUCUUCUGUUAAGGAUAUACAAGGAGCUGCACUCCCCUGCUAGAACCUCCAAACAAGCUCUCAAAAAUAUGUUUUAGAGGAGAUUUAAAUGUUAGUUAUCCUAACGUGGUCCACACUUGGAGACGGUGAUCAUCAGUGAGUGUUAUCUCACCCCACAUCC